rnacentral:lncRNA from 10 species
AGCCUUUAUCUCCACUCUGCGGAGAUUCACGCCUGGAAAACGCUCUUCUGAGAGGAUCUGUGGAGGUCAACCCAGGAGAGAGAAGACAGGACUGAAGCACUGAAAGGGUCCUGCCGUUAAGGGCGCAGGAUUGUAUAGAAUAUAUAAUAGCAGUAGCAGCUCUGUUUACGGAGCAUUAACCUUACGUGGAGUUAUUUCCUGCAUUUCCUCCUUUCGUCUUUACAAGGUAGCCGUUUGGCGUCGUGAGUAUGUGCCAAAUCUACUAGACAUUGGAGAAACAGUAGGAACAACACAUGGUACCGGCACAUGGAUCUUUCAGGAAAACGAAGUAGGUAAUAAACAGGAAAAAGCCCGAGUCUGAUGCUAAGAAGAACAUAAACAGGAUGCUGAGAGAUUGGGUCUCUCCACAUUGCCCCGGCUGCUCUCCAACCCCUGAGUUCAAGUGAUUCACCUCCCUUGGCCUCCCAAAGUACUGGGAUUACAGGCGUGAGCCACCGUGCCUGGCUGAGAAGAUGGAUUUAAGACAUAUUUUGGAGCGGAAAGUGACCAGAAGAGGUGUGCAGUUUCCAGGCCUGGCCCAUACAGACCUCCAACAGGUGCUCCCCUGUGCUGUUACUCCUUCUGCCAACUGGAAGCAGAUGGUGACCAGGCUCUGGAGAAGGCAAGGCCUGAAGAUGGGAGAUUCCUAAGUGGAGGAGAACUGUGCCUUACUGACCUAAAUAUCCACUCAGUAUUGUUAUGUGAGAAUAAAUAAACUUGUGUU